rnacentral:rRNA from 1 species
UACGAAGGGGGCUAGCGUUGCUCGGAAUUACUGGGCGUAAAGCGCACGUAGGCGGAUCGUUAAGUCAGGGGUGAAAUCCUGGAGCUCAACUCCAGAACUGCCUUUGAUACUGGCGAUCUUGAGUUCGGGAGAGGUGAGUGGAACUGCGAGUGUAGAGGUGAAAUUCGUAGAUAUUCGCAAGAACACCAGUGGCGAAGGCGGCUCACUGGCCCGAUACUGACGCUGAGGUGCGAAAGCGUGGGGAGCAAACAGGG